AAAAUUUUAUUUUCUUAUUUUAUGUAUAAAAGUUCUUAUAAUUUUUUAACUUACGAAUAUGUAUUAACACGUUUAUUUUUUUUUUAAUAGUUCAGAUGAAUAAAUUGUCAACGAAUUUAUAUGGAUUGAUAUUAUUUAUAUGAUACAUCAGAAUGAUAAAAAAUACAAGGAAAAAUAUAUCAAUAAUGCAAAUUAGAUACAAUCAAAUACAAAACAAAAAUAUGGAAUAUUACUACAAAGUUUAAACGCAAUUAUAAAGAAGAUAAAUAAAUACGAUAAAACUAAUGUUAUACAUCGUUAAAUUCAAUUGAUUCAUUAUCCAGCCAAAAAUAUAAUUUAUCUAUCAAGAUAAAAAAAGAUAAUAUAUAAUGUAUUGAUCGUAUUUAUGAUAUAUAAAAUAUACAAAUCUAUGAAAGCUAACAAACUGAAUGAAUUGAAGGUAUUGAAAUUAUUAUAUUUGAAAAUAAUGUUUGUAUGAAAUAUUUUUAAUAAAAUAUAUUAUUAUUUAAA